AUUGAACGCUGGCGGAAUGCCUAACACAUGCAAGUCGAGCGGAGUAGCAAUACUCAGCGGCGGACGGGUGAGGAAUACAUAGGAACUUGCCUUUAGGUGGGGGAUAGCUUGGGGAAACUCAAGGUAAUACCGCAUGAUCUCGCAAGAGCAAAGGGGCGCAAGUCUCGCCGUUAGAGAGGCCCAUGUCUGAUUAGCUAGUUGGCGGUGUAAUAGACCACCAAGGCGACGAUCAGUAACUGGUCUGAGAGUACGAUCAGUCACACCGGAACUGCAACACGGUCCGGACUCCUACGGGAGGCAGCAGUGGGGAAUAUUGGACAAUGGGCGAAAGCCUGAUCCAGCAAUUCCGCGUGUGUGAAGAAGGCCUUCGGGUUGUAGAGCACUUUAGUGAGGGAAGAAACAGCUUGGCCACACCAAGCCUUGACGGUACCUCAAGAAUAAGCACCGGCUAACUCUGUGCCAGCCGCCGCCGUAA
rnacentral:rRNA from 1 species